rnacentral:rRNA from 1 species
UAACGGCGAGUGAAGCGGCAACAGCUCAAAUUUGAAAUCUGGCUUCGGCCCGAGUUGUAAUUUGUAGAGGAUGCUUUUGGUGAGGUGCCUUCUGAGUUCCCUGGAACGGGACGCCAGAGAGGGUGAGAGCCCCGUAUAGUCGGCCACCGAUCCUUUGUAAAGCUCCUUCGACGAGUCGAGUAGUUUGGGAAUGCUGCUCAAAAUGGGAGGUAUAUCUCUUCUAAAGCUAAAUAUAGGCCAGAGACCGAUAGCGCACAAGUAGAGUGAUCGAAAGAUGAAAAGCACUUUGAAAAGAGGGUUAAAUAGCACGUGAAAUUGUUGAAAGGGAAGCGCUUGUGACCAGACUUGUGCCGGGCUGAUCAUCCAGUGUUCUCACUGGUGCACUCGACCCGGCUCAGGCCAGCGUCGGUUUUCGUGGGGGGAUAAAAGCUUCGGGAACGUGGCACCUUCGGGUGUGUUAUAGCCCGUUGCUUAAUACCUCCGUGGAGACCGAGGUUCGCGCUCUGCAAGGACGCUGGCAUAAUGGUCAUCAGCGACCCGUCUUGAAACACGGACCAAGGAGUCGAGGUUUUGCGCGAGUGUUUGGGUGUAAAACCCGCACGCGUAAUGAAAGUGAACGUAGGUGAGAGCUUCGGCGCAUCAUCGACCGAUCCUGAUGUAUUCGGAUGGAUUUGAGUAAGAGCGUAAAGCCUCG